AUACAUAUAGAAACAAAGAAAUUCAUCUUGACGACUGGGUUUUCCCACUCAGGUGUGAGAUGUGCCCCCCUCAAACCUUGCGACUGCGUUGGCACAUUCCUUGUCUGCUA
rfam:Otolemur garnettii contig088335, whole genome shotgun sequence.